AUUGACCUCGGAUCAGGUAGGGAUACCCGCUGAACUUAAGCAUAUCAAUAAAUC
rnacentral:rRNA from 1 species